GAUGAAGACUGGUGCUUGCACUGGUUGGAUUAGUGGCGAACGGGUGAGUAAUACGUGAGUAACCUGCCUUUGACUCUGGGAUAAGCCUGGGAAACUGGGUCUAAUACCGGAUAUGACAAGGAACCGCAUGGUUUUUUGUGGAAAGGGUUUGUACUGGUUUUAGAUGGGCUCACGGCCUAUCAGCUUGUUGGUGGGGUAAUGGCUCACCAAGGCGACGACGGGUAGCCGGCCUGAGAGGGUGACCGGCCACACUGGGACUGAGACACGGCCCAGACUCCUACGGGAGGCAGCAGUGGGGAAUAUUGCACAAUGGGCGCAAGCCUGAUGCAGCGACGCCGCGUGAGGGAUGACGGCCUUCGGGUUGUAAACCUCUUUCAGCAGGGAAGAAGCGAAAGUGACGGUACCUGCAGAAGAAGCGCCGGCUAACUACGUGCCAGCAGCCGCGGUAAUACGUAGGGCGCGAGCGUUGUCCGGGAAUUAUUGGGCGUAAAGAGCUUGUAGGCGGUUUGUUGCGUCUGCUGUGAAAGACCGGGGCUUAACCCCGGUAUUGCAGUGGGUACGGGCAGACUAGAGUGCAGUAGGGGAGACUGGAAUUCCUGGUGUAGCGGUGAAAUGCGCAGAUAUCAGGAGGAACACCGAUGGCGAAGGCAGGUCUCUGGGCUGUAACUGACGCUGAGAAGCGAAAGCAUGGGGAGCGAACAGGAUUAGAUACCCUGGUAGUCCAUGCCGUAAACGUUGGGCACUAGGUGUGGGGGACAUUCCACGUUUUCCGCGCCGUAGCUAACGCAUUAAGUGCCCCGCCUGGGGAGUACGGCCGCAAGGCUAAAACUCAAAGGAAUUGACGGGGGCCCGCACAAGCGGCGGAGCAUGCGGAUUAAUUCGAUGCAACGCGAAGAACCUUACCAAGGCUUGACAUAUACUGGACCGCCUCAGAGAUGGGGUUUCCCUUCGGGGCUGGUAUACAGGUGGUGCAUGGUUGUCGUCAGCUCGUGUCGUGAGAUGUUGGGUUAAGUCCCGCAACGAGCGCAACCCUCGUUCUAUGUUGCCAGCACGUUAUGGUGGGGACUCAUAGGAGACUGCCGGGGUCAACUCGGAGGAAGGUGGGGAUGACGUCAAAUCAUCAUGCCCCUUAUGUCUUGGGCUUCACGCAUGCUACAAUGGCCGGUACAAAGGGUUGCGAUACUGUGAGGUUGAGCUAAUCCCAAAAAGCCGGUCUCAGUUCGGAUUGGGGUCUGCAACUCGACCCCAUGAAGUCGGAGUCGCUAGUAAUCGCAGAUCAGCAACGCUGCGGUGAAUACGUUCCCGGGCCUUGUACACACCGCCCGUCAAGUCACGAAAGUUGGUAACACCCGAAGCCGAUGGCCUAACCCUU
rnacentral:rRNA from 1 species